rnacentral:rRNA from 1 species
UACGGAGGGGGCUAGCGUUGUUCGGAAUUACUGGGCGUAAAGCGCGCGUAGGCGGACCUGCAAGUCGGGGGUGAAAGCCCGAGGCUCAACCUCGGAACUGCCUUCGAUACUGCGGGUCUCGAGUCCGGGAGAGGUGAGUGGAAUUCCUAGUGUAGAGGUGAAAUUCGUAGAUAUUGGGAAGAACACCGGUGGCGAAGGCGGCAUCCUGGACCAAUACUGACGCUGAGGAGCGAAAGCCAGGGGAGCAAACGGG